rnacentral:rRNA from 1 species
AAACUUUACAAUGCUGGCAACAGCGAUAAGGGAACCUCGAGUGCCAGGUUACAAAUCUGGCUGUCGAGAUGCCUAAAAAGCAUUUCAUAGCAAGGGCCGGGCAAGACCGGUGCCAGCCGCCGCGGUAAUACCGGCGGCUCGAGUGGUGGCCGCUAUUACUGGGCUUAAAGGGUCCGUAGCUGGAUAUACAAGUCCCUUGAGAAAUCCGCCGGCUUAACCGGUGGGCGUUCAGGGGAAACUGUAUUUCUAGGGACCGGGAGAGGUGAGAGGUACUGCCGGGGUAGGAGUGAAAUCCUGUAAUCCCGGUGGGACCACCUAUGGCGAAGGCAUCUCACCAGAACGGGUCCGACAGUGAGGGACGAAAGCUGGGGGAGCAAACCGG